rnacentral:rRNA from 1 species
UAUUACCAGAAGCGACGGCAGUGUGAAGGUCAGACUAAUGAUCUUGCCUGACAAGCCGAGAGGUGGUGCAUGGCGAUCGUCAGUUCGUGGUGUGAACUCUCCGGUUAAGUCCGGUAACGAACGAGAUCCUCGUUGACAGUUGCUACUGGUCCUGCGAAGGGCCAGGCACUCUGUCGAGACCGCCUGCGUUUAAGCAGGAGGAAGGAGAGGGCGACGGUACGUCAGUAUGCCCCGAAUCUCCAGGGCUACACGCGGCGUACAGAGGUUGGUACAAUGGGUUGCUACCCAGAAAUGGGACGCUAAUCCCCUAAACCAAUCUAGGUCCGAAUUGAGGGUUGAAACUCACCCUCAUGAAGUUGGAAUCCCUAGUAAUCGCGUGUCACCAACGAGCGGUGAAUACGUCCCU